rnacentral:rRNA from 1 species
AGCAGCCGCGGUAAUUCCAGCUCCAAUAGCGUAUAUUAAAGUUGUUGCAGUCAAAAAGCUCGUAGUUGAAUUUCGAGACCGGUUUACUGGUCGUGCUUUUGUACGUACUGGUAUAAUCGGUUUCUCUCUUCUGACGAACUAUAAUGCCAUUAAUUUUGUGUUAUAGGGAAUCAGGACUGUUACUUUGAAAAAAUUAGAGUGUUUAAAGCAGGCUCACGCUUGAAUACAUUAGCAUGGAAUAACGGAAUAGGACGUUUGAUUCUAUUUUGUUGGUUUCUAGAAUCGACGUAAUGAUUAAUAGGGAUAGUUGGGGGCAUUAGUAUUCAAUUGUCAGAGGUGAAAUUCUUGGAUUUAUUGAAGACUAACUACUGCGAAAGCAUUUGCCAAGGAUGUUUUCAUUAAUCAAGAACGAAAGUUAGGGGAUCGAAGACGAUCAGAUACCGUCGUAGU